rnacentral:rRNA from 1 species
GUGGGGAAUCUUGCGCAAUGGGCGAAAGCCUGACGCAGCGACGCCGCGUGCGGGAAGAAGGCCUUCGGGUUGUAAACCGCUUUCAGGAGGGACGAAGCCACUCGGGUUAAUAGCCUAGAGGGUGACGGUACCUCCAGAAGAAGCCCCGGCUAACUACGUGCCAGCAGCCGCGGUAAUACGUAGGGGGCUAGCGUUGUCCGGAUUUAUUGGGCGUAAAGAGCGCGUAGGCGGCCGAGUAAGUCCGACGUGAAAUCUGGAGGCUCAACCUCCAGCGGUCGUUGGAAACUACUCGGCUAGAGUCCGGAAGAGGAGAGUGGAAUUCCUGGUGUAGCGGUGAAAUGCGCAGAUAUCAGGAAGAACACCGAUGGCGAAAGCAGCUCUCUGGGACGGUACUGACGCUGAGGCGCGAAAGCGUGGGGAGCGAACAGGAUUAGAAACCCUAGUAGUCC